AUUGAACGCUGGCGGCAGGCCUAACACAUGCAAGUCGAGCGGAGCGGCGGACGGGUGAGUAAUGCCUAGGAAUCUGCCUGGUAGUGGGGGAUAACGUCCGGCAACGGACGCUAAUACCGCAUACUCUCAGAUGAGCCUAGAUCGGAUUAGCUAGUUGGUGGGGUAAAGGCUUACCAACGCGACGAUCCGUAACUGGUCUGAGAGGAUGAUCAGUCACACUGGGACUGAGACACGGUCCAGACUCCUACGGGAGGCAGCAGUGGGGAAUAUUGGACAAUGGGCGCAAGCCUGAUACAGCCAUGCCGCGUGUGUGAAGAAGGUCUUAGGAUUGUAAAGUACUUUAAGUUGGGAGGCGUUACCAACAGAAUAAGCACCGGCUAACUUCGUGCCAGCAGCCGCGGUAAUUC
rnacentral:rRNA from 1 species